UACGUAGGGUGCGAGCGUUAAUCGGAAUUACUGGGCGUAAAGCGUGCGCAGGCGGAUUGUUAAGCAAGAUGUGAAAUCCCCGGGCUUAACCUGGGAAUGGCAUUUUGAACUGGCAGUCUAGAGUGUGUCAGAGGGGGGUGGAAUUCCACGUGUAGCAGUGAAAUGCGUAGAGAUGUGGAGGAACACCGAUGGCGAAGGCAGCCCCCUGGGAUAACACUGACGCUCAUGUACGAAAGCGUGGGUAGCAAACAGG
rnacentral:rRNA from 1 species